GACGUAGGUGGCGAACGUUAUCCGGAAUUAUUGGGCGUAAAGGAUGCGUAGAUGGUGUAGUAAGUUAUCGGUGGCAAAUCGAGGCUCAACCUCGUGGAAGUCGGUAAUACUGCUAUGCUAGAGGAUAGGAGAGGUUAACGGAACUCCCUGUGGAGCGGUGAAAUGCGUAGAUAUAGGGAAGAACACCCGUGGCGAAGGCGGCUCUCUGGGACGGUACUGACGCUGAGACGCGAAAGCGUGGGGAGCGAACAGG
rnacentral:rRNA from 1 species